UCCUCCUCUAUGACUAUCUAGUAAUCUUUGACCUGUCUUUAUCUUUUAGAAUCAGUGGUCAUCUAAUCCAGUCUUGUCCAGUCAACUAGACUUGGCCUUCAGCUGAUCUUGCAGUUCUCCUUCUUCAUGAUCAGCUGGGUGGUGUGAUGUUCUCCCUGGGCAGCUCCUGUUUGCUUGGAUUUAUUCUCUGAAAGUGUGGAUGAAAUAAAAUCUUUCUGCCCUCUUCCUCUCUGGAAGCAGGGGUGAGCAGAGCAGCUCCUUUACCAUCCUAAAAUCCUAAUGUGUGAACUCCUGAUGGUCCUCCAUUCUUGGAAUAUCUGUAGCAAUGGCAGAGGACAGUGACAAGGAACUUGGGAUGUGCUGCUGAACUGAUAAGCAGUUCUGAGAGAGGCUGGAGAAAGAGGCCUGGAGCUGGGUUACAUUUCUGGGCCUGAGCCCAAGUGAACAGCAAGAAGAGAAGGAUGUUCCACCUGCUGAACCAUUCAGAAGUGGCCCAGCUCCCAGAAAAGGUGGUAACAAUGGAGCUCAUGGGUAUAUUUACCAAUUGACUGGGACCCAGAUUUAACACUAGGUUUUACUGAACCAGCUGAACCAUCUUCAGCACAGCACUGAUGGAAACCUGUGGAGGUGUAAGAGGCUGUGACUCAUUGCAUAACUCUUGCUGAAGGAAACUCUAGGACUACAUUUCAGAAGAGGAUGGAGUA